UACGUAGGGGGCAAGCGUUGUCCGGAUUUAUUGGGCGUAAAGAGCGUGUAGGCGGCCAUGUAGGUCCGUUGUGAAAACUCGAGGCUCAACCUCGAGACGCCGAUGGAAACCAUGUGGCUAGAGUCCGGAAGAGGAGAGUGGAAUUCCUGGUGUAGCGGUGAAAUGCGCAGAUAUCAGGAAGAACACCCGUGGCUAAGGCGGCUCUCUAGUACGGUACUGACGCUGAGACGCGAAAGCGCGGGGAGCGAACGGG
rnacentral:rRNA from 1 species